UCUAAGAAUCUCUAGGAGGUCUCAUGGGUGCCUGUUAUUUAUAAAUUUAUUCCAAACCAAGUAGCUACGGAAUAACACUAAAAAGAGAGGGAAAAGUAGGCUUUAGGGUAACAAUAAUUCUCUUAACUAAAGGACCCUCUCCAGAUAAUUAUUCAUUCAUUGAGCGCUGUGUAACUUGAAGUCGAGAGUAAAUUUGAGGAAAUAUCGAGUGUACCAGGAGUUAUUCCAAGGCAAAGUUAAAAAAAAAAAAAAUGCUCCAUAGCUUCAAGUCAAUGCUUAGAGGGAGAGAAUACGGCGAGCGCAAAAAUAAUAAAAAAUAAAAAAAGCCGAAACCUGACCUUGUCCGUAAGUCGAAUAGUUCUGCACCCCACCCCGCCCCCACCUUCUCCAGGAGCGGGUUCACGCAAUCUCAAUUGGUCAGUCUGCCUAUUCCAGCAUCUGCCCGACAGUGACAAGGGAAUCUUCAAGGAAGAUGAGCGGGUCUGAAAGGAGCGGCCUCAGAAGCUGAGGCCCAGGAAGAAAGGACUCGAAGAAGAAAAGGAGGAGAGGACCUUCGGAGGGAUGAGACCGGGCUGUCAGAAGCUAAUGGGGACAUGGCUUGGGAAGACAACUGCGGGACACGGGAGGAAGGUCUUAUGAGGGCCCAGGAGAGGCCAUGUGGUCUGGUGCAGCAAGUUAAGAGCUACUGACAAUUGCUUGGGUUUGAAUCCUGAGUCAGUCACCUAAUACUUAUGUGAUCCUGAGAAGUCUUCCUUUUCCUGCCAAGUCCACUCUGGUAUAGCAGAAAAGUCCAGUGCCUCAAUACAGGUGACAACAGUCUAAAGAGAACCUGAGAGUCAAACCAAGAAGAGAUGAAAGACCUUGUCUAGGGUGUGGACUGUGACAUCACACAGAGUAGGAGAGCUGCCCUUCAAGAAGCCAGGAUCAAAAUUCAGGUAGGUACCAUUAUGCUUGUAUU